UCGAGAAUCUUCCGCAAUGGGCGAAAGCCUGACGGAGCGACGCCGCGUGGUUGAUGAAGUCCUUCGGGACGUAAAAACCUUUUAUGGGGGAGAAAGUUAUUGAUAGUACUCCAUGAAUAAGAGGCUCCUAACUCUGUGCCAGCAGGAGCGGUAAUACAGAGGCCUCAAGCGUUAUCCGGAAUCACUGGGCGUAAAGGGUGUGUAGGUGGUCGUAUUAGUCUUUCGUGAAAUCUUCUGGCUUAACCAGGAGCCCGCGGGGGAAACGGUACGACUUCGAGGAUGUGAGAGGUAAAGGGAACUCAAGGUGUAGGGGUGAAAUCCGUUGAUAUCUUGGGGAACACCAAAUGCGAAGGCACUUUACUGGCACACUCCUGACACUGAAACACGAAAGCGUGGGAAUCGAACGGGAUUAGAUACCCCCGUAGUCC
rnacentral:rRNA from 1 species